UUGUCAAAUAUGUCCAAGACUUUCACAUACAUUGAAAACUCUAGGGCAAAAAUAUAAAAAGUUCUUUAUUUUCGGAGAAAAUCCCAUAGUAAAGGUGCUGAUAUUUUGAGACGACCCCUACACAAUACUGUACGGGCAAAAUCAUAUUUUAUUUUCUUAAUAAAAUGUCGAAAGUACAACUCAUCAAUGAUACAAAUUUAAUAAAAAUCUCUAGGGUAGAAAUAACUGUAUCCGGCCCCCUUAAAAAGAAACAGACUUUUCAAUUUACAGCUUUAUUGUUAAAGCUCAACCGUCUCAGUGAAAUAAAUACACACAAUAAUUAUGUCGAUAUAACAAACAAAAAUUCACCUUGUUUUACGUACACUGGAACUUGAAUAAAAUCAACACAACCUCGCCUUUAUAUUACAUUACCAAAAAUAGGGGUGGGGGGGUGGGGGGGGGGGGGGGGGGGGGGUGACGUAUAUCCUGGGAAUGACCCUUGAUAUAUAUUUAUAAAAUCUCCUAUGCCUACAAGUAUUAUGGAAGUCUCUUAAAAUAUUCAAGAUAUCUCAGCAAUCAUAAAUAAACUCCAAAAUUCUGAGAAAUAACCUCCAAUUUAUCCAGAAUAAUAAUGUCACCCAACUUUUUAUGUAAAUAAAACAGUUCCUAGUCCUAUUUCUAAUAGAAUGCAGAUAGUAAAUAGUUAAGGGAUUAACCUGUUAAUUAAAUACGCUAAUUCCCUGCCCUAUUUCUAUAUAAACUGAGAAAUUCGUUAAUUUACACUAAUUAAGUAAUUAAUUAAGGGAUUAACUCGUUAAUUAAAUUAUUGUAAAGACAGAAGGAAUAACCUUCUAUUUCCUUACACUUACUGUGGUAAUUCUUAUACAUCCGUUUCUAAAAGCUAGGUUGAGGAAAAGUCCCGGAGAAAGCCCACCGUUUGGUUAUAUAGACUUUAAGACCCACAUGGGCAACACACACGCGAGGCUGGAAACCACCGGAGACACUAUCGGCGCUUCCAAAUAAAACAUUAAAUACAACUUUAAUCAUACAUAAAAGAACAUAACUGUAAACAUUUUACUACCAAAAAUCUUCGUCACUCAAAUAAAUGUCACAACCCGGAAGAAAAUAGCAAUAUGCAUUCAUAAAGACCGCCAAACGAAAAUAGACAGUGACCCGGGGUCAAAUGCAUACAUUACAACUCUAGCGCGCCAUACAAUAAUCAGUUCCGGUAAAAAUGGCCGCCUACAUGUGACGAUGAUAAAUAGAACAUUAUUAUUAGAAUGUUAUUUUUGUAACAUAUCAGUAUUGUUUGACAAUAUCCCUGCAACACUGAAAUAAAUGUAGUUUAAGAAGUGUAAACAAGUUACC